rnacentral:rRNA from 1 species
UACGUAGGGUCCGAGCGUUGUCCGGAAUUAUUGGGCGUAAAGGGCUCGUAGGCGGGUUGUCGCGUCGGGAGUGAAAACUCAGGGCUCAACCCUGAGCGUGCUUCCGAUACGGGCAGACUAGAGGUAUGCAGGGGAGAACGGAAUUCCUGGUGUAGCGGUGGAAUGCGCAGAUAUCAGGAGGAACACCGGUGGCGAAGGCGGUUCUCUGGGCAUUACCUGACGCUGAGGAGCGAAAGCGUGGGGAGCGAACAGG